UACAGAGGUCUCAAGCGUUGUUCGGAAUCACUGGGCGUAAAGGGCGCGUAGGCGGCCACCGCAAGUCAGUUGUGAAAGCUCUGGGCUUAACCCAGAAAGGUCAGCUGAUACUGCGGGGCUAGAGUGCAGAAGGGGCAACUGGAAUUCUCGGUGUAGCGGUGAAAUGCGUAGAUAUCGAGAGGAACACCUGCGGCGAAGGCGGGUUGCUGGGCUGACACUGACGCUGACAGCGCGAAAGCUAGGGGAGCGAACGGG
rnacentral:rRNA from 1 species